CACAUUUUAAUAUACUAUUUUAUUUCAAUAAUUUAUAAAAUUUUCAUUUUCUAUGAUGACAAGCAACUGUCCCAGCUCACUCUGACAUUUAAUUUAAUGGAG